AGCUUUGCACAGUGGCAGUAUCACAGUCAAUGAGCUUUAUCCGAGCUGUGAUUACUGCUAAUUGAAAUUUUUCUCAAAAUGCAUUCUCUGCCCUCCCCCUUUUUAACCAUAAGUGAUAAUACACUACAUCUAUGGUUCUGUAUUUUGCUUUUUUCCUUAGAGA
rnacentral:snRNA from 1 species